GGAUAGGUGGGAGACUUAGAAGUAGUCACGCCAGUGAUUAUGGAGUCGUCCUUGAAAUACCACCCUUUAACGUUUGAUGUUCUAACGAAGAUUGCGGAACGCGGUCUCGGACAGUGUCUGGUGGGUAGUUUGACUGGGGCGGUCUCCUCCCAAAGAGUAACGGAGGAGCACGAAGGUUUGCUAAUCACGGUCGGACAUCGUGAGGUUAGUGCAAUGGUAUAAGCAAGCUUAACUGCGAGACAGACAAGUCGAGCAGGUACGAAAGUAGGUCAUAGUGAUCCGGUGGUUCUGAAUGGAAGGGCCAUCGCUCAACGGAUAAAAGGUACUCCGGGGAUAACAGGCUGAUACCGCCCAAGAGUUCAUAUCGACGGCGGUGUUUGGCACCUCGAUGUCGGCUCAUCACAUCCUGGGGCUGAAGUAGGUCCCAAGGGUAUGGCUGUUCGCCAUUUAAAGUGGUACGCGAGCUGGGUUUAGAACGUCGUGAGACAGUUCGGUCCCUAUCUGCCGUGGGCGUUGGAGAAUUGGUUGGGGCUGCUCCUAGUACGAGAGGACCGGAGUGGACGCACCACUGGUGUUCCGGUUGUGUCGCCAGACGCAUUGCCGGGUAGCUAAGUGCGGAAGAGAUAAGUGCUGAAAGCAUCUAAGCACGAAACUUGCCAAGAGAUGAGUUCUCCCUGGUUAUAAAUCAGUAAGGGUUGUUUAAGACUAAGACGUAGAUAGGUGCGGUGUGUAAGUGAUGUGAGUCAUUGAGCUAACGCAUACUAAUUGCCCGAGAGGCUUAACUAUACAACGCUCAAG
rnacentral:rRNA from 1 species